rnacentral:rRNA from 1 species
UACGAAGGGGGCUAGCGUUGCUCGGAAUCACUGGGCGUAAAGGGUGCGUAGGCGGGUAUUUAAGUCAGGGGUGAAAUCCUGGAGCUCAACUCCAGAACUGCCUUUGAUACUGAGUAUCUUGAGUACGGGAGAGGUGAGUGGAACUGCGAGUGUAGAGGUGAAAUUCGUAGAUAUUCGCAAGAACACCAGUGGCGAAGGCGGCUCACUGGCCCGUUACUGACGCUGAGGCACGAAAGCGUGGGGGAGCAAACAGG